rnacentral:tRNA from 1 species
GGGUAUAGCUCAGUGGUAGAGUGUGUGUUUAGCAUGCGUGAGGCCCUGGGUUCAAUCCCCAGUACUGCCA